rnacentral:rRNA from 1 species
AUUGAACGCUGGCGGCAUGCCUUACACAUGCAAGUCGAACGGCAGCACGGGUGCUUGCACCUGGUGGCGAGUGGCGAACGGGUGAGUAAUACGUCGGAACGUACCUUAUCGUGGGGGAUAACGCAGCGAAAGCUGUGCUAAUACCGCAUACGCCCUGAGGGGGAAAGCGGGGGAUCGAAAGACCUCGCGCGAUUAGAGCGGCCGAUGCCUGAUUAGCUUGUUGGUGGGGUAAAAGCCCACCAAGGCGACGAUCAGUAGCUGGUCUGAGAGGACAAUCAGCCACACUGGGACUGAGACACGGCCCAGACUCCUACGGGAGGCAGCAGUGGGGAAUUUUGGACAAUGGGGGCAAACCUGAUCCAGCAAUGCCGCGUGAGUGAAGAAGGCCUUCGGGUUGUAAAGCUCUUUUGUCAGGGAAGAAACACCGGCUCUAACACAGUCCGGGAAUGACGGUACCUGAAGAAUAAGCACCGGCUAACUACGUGCCAGCCGCCGCCGUAA